rnacentral:tRNA from 2 species
GGAGGCGUGAGGAGGCUGGUGCCUCUCCCGGGCUUCAAACCCGGUGCGCCCCCAAAAGGGGUGGGUGGGUUCAAUUCCCAUACGCCUCCGCCA